UACACUCCUGCGGGAGGCAGCAGUGGGGAAUAUUGGACAAUGGGCGCAAGCCUGAUCCAGCCAUGCCGCGUGAGUGAUGAAGGCCCUAGGGUUGUAAAGCUCUUUCACCGGUGAAGAUAAUGACGGUAACCGGAGAAGAAGCCCCGGCUAACUUCGUGCCAGCAGCCGCGGUAAUACGAAGGGGGCUAGCGUUGUUCGGAUUUACUGGGCGUAAAGCGCACGUAGGCGGACUAUUAAGUCAGGGGUGAAAUCCCGGGGCUCAACCCCGGAACUGCCUUUGAUACUGGUAGUCUUGAGUUCGAGAGAGGUGAGUGGAAUUCCGAGUGUAGAGGUGAAAUUCGCAGAUAUUCGGAGGAACACCAGUGGCGAAGGCGGCUCACUGGCUCGAUACUGACGCUGAGGUGCGAAAGCGUGGGGAGCAAACAGGAUUAGAUACCCUUGUAGUCCCAUG
rnacentral:rRNA from 1 species